rnacentral:rRNA from 1 species
GGUCAAAUUAUUAAGGGCUUACGGUGGAUGCCUUGGGACCAAGGGCCGAUGAAGGGCGUGGUAAGGCUGCGAUAAGCCUCGAUGAGCCGUCUAACAGGCAUAGUCGGGGAUUCCCGAAUGGGGUAACCUGUUCCGGUGUUGAGCCGGUUCAUCCGCUUCGGCGGAGGGUAAGCGGGGGAACUGAAACAUCUAAGUACCCUGAGGAAAAGAAAUCAACCGAGAUUCCCUAAGUAGUGGCGAACGAACGGGGAAUAGCCUAAACCGGUAUGACCAAACGGCGUGAGGGCCUAUGUCAUACCGGGGUUAUAGGGAACACCUUGGGUCGCCUCACCAGACCCGAUGAAGUUACCAAUCUUGUUUCUAGCCGAAGGCUCCUGGGAAGGGCCGUCAUAGAGGGUGAUAGCCCCGUAGGCGAAAGGGACGAGACUUCCGGUGUUUACCUGAGUACCACGGGGCACGGGAAACCUUGUGGGAAGUUGGGGGGACCACCCUCCAAGGCUAAAUACCCUUGGUCACCGAUAGCGCACCAGUACCGUGAGGGAAAGGUGAAAAGAACCCCUAGCGGGGAGUGAAAUAGACCUGAAACCGUAAGCCUACAGAAGGUCGCAGCCUCGAUUCAGUUCGGGGUGACGGCGUGCCUAUUGAAGAAUGAUCCGGGGACUUACUGUAUGGAGCAAGGUUAAGGAACUGGAGUUCCGGAGCCGUAGCGAAAGCGAGUCUGAAUAGGGCGCUCAGUUCCAUGUAGUAGACUCGAAACCGGGUGAGCUACCCAUGGCCAGAUUGAAGGUUCGUUAACGCGGACUGAAGGAUCGAACUCGUGGCUAGUACAAAAGCUUGGGAUGAGCUGUGGGUAGAGGUGAAAUGCCAAUCGAACCCGGAAAUAGCUAGUUCUCCCCGAAAUGCAUUUAGGUGCAGCCUCGGGAAUUAGGAGGACGGAGGUAGGGCACUGAAUGGGCUAGGGGGCGUGAGCUUACCAAACUCAAUCAAACCACCAAUGCCGUUCUGCCGAUACCCGGGAGUGAGACAGUCACAGAUAAGUGCGAUUGUCAAAAGGGAAACAGCCCAGACCACCGGCUAAGGCCCCCAAGCGCAGGCUAAGUGGGAAAGGAGGUGGGGUUCCCAAAACAACCAGGAGGUUGGCUUAGAAGCAGCCAUUCCUUUAAAGAGUGCGUAAUAGCUCACUGGUCGAGGGGUCCUGCGCCGAAAAUGUAACGGGGCUUAAGCCUGCCGCCGAAGCCGUGGAUGUUCAGGUUCAAGAAUCUAAUUCCAGCCUUGGGGUUCUGCCCUAAAGCUGGAGUGAAGGUUCUUGGUUCCGCCUGGGCGUGGUAGGGGAGCGUUCCUCGGGCGAUGAAGGUGAGUCGUGAGGCUUGCUGGAGCGCGGGGAAGUGAGAAUCCCGGAAUGAGUAGCGUAAAUCAGGGUGAGAAUCCCUGACACCGAAAGCCCAAGGUUUCCUACGCAACGUUGUUCGGCGUAGGGUUAGUCGGUCCUAAGCCGUAGGCAAGCGCCGAAGGCGAUGGACAGCAGGUUAAUAUUCCUGCACCGCCGUUGUUUUGUUGAUACUCGGAGGGGUGCGGAAGGGUAGGUCGGGCGUCUUAUUGGAUUGGCGUCCUCCUCCGUAGGCGAGCCAGGGCAGGCAAAUCCACUCUGGCGUUAAGCUGAGGGUUGAGGGAAUCGUAGCCUAAGGGCUAACGAAAUCCGGCUGAACCCAAACCGACAAGAAAAGCUUCGUUUGGAGAAGCAGCGGCGACCGUACCGCAAACCGCCACUGGUGGGCUGGGAUAAAAGUCCCUAGGUGUUCGAGCUAACCUCCGCUAAGGAACUAGACAAAAGAGCCCUGUAACUUUGGGAGAAAGGGCCCCCCGGGGGGUGAAGCCGCGAGCCGGUGGAGCGCUCUGGGGGCGCAGAGAAGAAGGCCGGGCGACUGUUUAACAAAAACACAGGUCUGUGCUAAGGGGAAACCCUACGUAUACAGGCUGACGCCUGCCCAGUGCCGGAAGGUUAAGGGGAGGGGUGCAAGCUCCGAACUGAAGCCCCGGUGAACGGCGGCCGUAACUCUAACGGUCCUAAGGUAGCGAAGUCCCUUGUCGGGUAAGUUCCGACCCGCAUGAAUGGUUGAACGACUUGGCCAUUGUCUCGGCGGAGGGCUCGGUGAAAUUGCGGUGCCCGUGAAGACGCGGGCGACCCGCGGCAGGACAAAAAGACCCCGUGGAGCUUUACUGUAGCCUGGCAUUGGGCUGGGAGCUGUCAUGUGUAGGAUAGGUGGGAGACUUUGAAGCCCCUACGCCAGUAGGGGUGGAGUCGCCGUUGAAAUACCACCCUUGGCUGUUUUUGGUUCUAACCUCAGCAAAACUGGGGAACAGUGCUUGGUGGGCAGUUUAACUGGGGCGGUUGCCUCCUAAAAAGUAACGGAGGCGCCCAAAGGUCCUCUCAGGACGGAUGGAAAUCGUCCACAGAACGCAUUGGCAUAAGAGGGCUUGACUGCGAGACCUACAAGUCGAGCAGGGACGAAAGUCGGGCAAAGUGAUCCUACGGCACCGUGUGGAAGGGCCGUGGCUUAUCGGAUAAAAGCUACCCCGGGGAUAACAGGCUUAUCUCGCCCAAGAGUUCACAUCGACGGCGAGGUUUGGCACCUCGAUGUCGGCUCGUCCCAUCCUGGGGCUGAAGGCGGUCCCAAGGGUCCGGCUGUUCGCCGGUUAAAGGGGUACGUGAGUUGGGUUCAGAACGUCGUGAGACAGUUCGGUCUCUAUCCGCCGUGGGCGCAGGAGGCUUGAGGGAACCUCUCCCUAGUACGAGAGGACCGGGAGGGACAGACCUAUGGUGUUCCAGUUGUUCCGCCAGGAGCAGCGCUGGGUAGCCAUGUCUGGCAGCGAUAAGCGCUGAAGGCAUCUAAGCGCGAAGCAUCCCCCAAGAUGAGGCCUCCCUUCCCGAUUAACUUCGGGAGUAAGACUGCAGAGAGACUAUCUGCUUGAUAGGUCGGAUGUGUAAGGCUGGCAACAGUUUCAGCAUACCGAUACUAACCGGUCGAGCGAUUUGACCCA